AGUCUUCUUCUUCUUCGUCUUCUUCUUCUU
rnacentral:sRNA from 1 species